GCAAGCCGGGGAACCUUCGCCUGCUGGACUCUCUCUCUCUCUUGCGGGGGAGAGGGGAGGAUUAUUAUCAUCAUUAUUUUGAGUGAGGGGCGAUCCUAAUGCCCCGCCAGCGUACAAUGAUGAACGAGGCUGAUAUUGUGCUGGUAGAGGACACGCAACAGCCUAGCUAUGAAAAGAGGACAAAAAAGUCACGGAAGCGCAGCCGAGAAGAAGUCAAACAGCCAGUUGUGUCCUCUGAUCAGACAUCUUCCCAGGAUACAGAAGAUGCUGGGACUAGUAGAAAAAAACAUAAGAAGAAAAAAUCCAGUUUGGAAACUUCUGAUGCUUCCUGGGUCAUCCCCGAGACUCCGCUGAGCGAUGAGUCCGAAAUAAAUAACUUUGUGCCCAAGAAGAAGAAGAAAAAGAUGAAACACAGACUUAAACAUGGUAGUGAUGAGGAGGGUUGGAGCCCAUCAAUUCCCAACAAAUCCAGUCAACCAUCCCUCAAAAAGGCCUUGGCAAAUGGGGGUGUUGAUGAUGAUGAGUUUUGGAGCUCAUCAACUCCCAACAAAUCCAGUAAACUAUCUCGGAAGGAGGACUUGGGGAAUGUCAGCGUGGUUGAUGGUAACAGGUCAUCUCGUAAGAAGAAGAAGAAGAAGAAAAGGAAACGAAGGGAGGGUAGCUAUGUCCCUGGUGAACUUGAGAAGGAGAAGGCUGAGGCCACAAGUUCACAGAGAGAAGAUCAGGUGGACCUUGACCAAACGAUAGACACGCAGAUGGAUCUCUUUGGCUCCUUGCCUUUCUCCUUCUCCGAGGGACCACAAGUGGACCUUCACCCGGGGCAUGGCCAAGAGGGAAGCUGUUCUCCCACUGCUGAGGUUUCUGAGGCUACUCGGGUGGACCUGGAGAUGGAAGGAACAUCAGCUGGAGACCAUGAACAGACACAACCCCAACCAAAAUUGCCCGCUUCGGGGGUUAACACCAAAUUGGAUCAAUCCCAAACGGGUAUGAAACUCCGAUCUUCACGCAAGCGGUCCCCUCCCGAAACAUAUUCUGAGGAGGAAGAAGAGGAUUGGUAUGCUCUGGAUAGGGAACAACUGGAGAAUGCCCGAAAAGAACUAGAGGAAUUCAUCCCUCGGGCAAAGACACUGGCAGAUUCUGCGAUCAGGCAGCUGGCCAAACGAGAUCUAGCCAGGUUUCGGGAGC
rnacentral:lncRNA from 1 species